UACGGAGGGUGCGAGCGUUGUCCGGAAUCAUUGGGCGUAAAGGGCGCGUAGGUGGCUCGGUCAGUCUUUGGUGAAAGCGCGGGGCUCAACCCUGCGUCGGCCAGGGAUACUGCCGCGGCUCGAGCACUGUAGAGGCAGGCGGAAUUCCGGGUGUAGCGGUGGAAUGCGUAGAGAUCCGGAAGAACACCGGUGGCGAAGGCGGCCUGCUGGGCAGUUUAGCUGACACUGAGGCGCGACAGCGUGGGGAGCAAACAGG
rnacentral:rRNA from 1 species